rnacentral:rRNA from 1 species
CGUGUAGGCGGUCCGUUAAGUUGGUAGUGAAAUCCCAUGGCUCAACCAUGGAAGUGCUGCCAAAACUGGCGGGCUGGAGUGCCGGAGAGGGUGGCGGAAUUCCCAGUGUAGAGGUGAAAUUCGUAGAUAUUGGGAGGAACACCGGUGGCGAAGGCGGCCACCUGGACGGUAACUGACGCUAAGACGCGAAAGCGUGGGGAGCAAACAGGAUUAGAUACCCUGGUAGUCCACGCUGUAAACGAUGAGCACUAGGUGUUGCGGGUAUUGACCCCUGCAGUGCCGACGCUAACGCAUUAAGUGCUCCGCCUGGGGACUACGGCCGCAAGGCUAAA